CAAACCUGCAUGACUCACGCCCAAAGAAUGCUGUGGAAUUCACCGGGAGCUUUCUGGAAGCCGGCGCUGGAGGGGACGAAGAGGCGGGCUCAGUGCCACCAGCCCGACCACUGCUGGCGUAGCUGGAACAAGCUAGAAAUGGACAAAAACAGUCCGUGCCAUGCUCACCUCCAACCCACAAUCCUCCCAUCUCUUCCCAUUCUCCAUCAACCUGGGAUGCUGCUUACUGAAGAUGGUAACAUCGCAGGACAGAAGAAGACUGGAUUCCCCCAGCCAACGUUUGUAAGAACCAGCUAACCUGCAGUGGAUUGUGAAAUUCAUGAGAAAUGAACUACUGCUGUCUGUCCUUGAAGUCUUGAAGUUACUUAUCGGAGCUAGUGCUACUUGCUCUAACUACUACAGAAACUCUUGAAAUGGGAUGCCACAAUAACAAAAACAUAAAUAUGUGGCAUUGCUUAGCAACAUGCUAAAGGGCAUUUGUUGGAUAGAAUCAAAGUGAGAGUGUAUGUUCUCUGCUAUUGGUUGUAUUUGGCAAAGCAAUCUAAGAAAAAAGAUGGGCUCAGCAGAAGUGGAUGGUUUGCAAAGAGAAAUGAAGGGGAAUAGAGAGAGUUUAGAAAAUUUAAGCCUAAUAGGGAAGAAAACACCAAGGGCUUCUCAAUCCCAAGUGGCAGAAAAGCCCCAUCAAGACCCAGCCUUGGUGAAAAGAUCAGAUUUAAGGAUAUGACAUUCCCAGUCAAGUCUUGUAGCAUCCAAGUAGCAACCUGCCCCUUGGGAGAUAGAAAGAAGCACAGGGGACAGAAACAAGGAAAUAAAGCAGGUUUGGAAACUAUGUCUAGGAAAAACUCUAGGUGUGGUCACUAGCCCAUGGAAUCGACUAGAAGUAAAUGGAUAAGACUUUGCUAAAAUUUGAGUGACUUUGAUCAUAUAUAAACAGACACCCAAAAACCCAAAACCAACCGAAUACAUAAAAACCCAUAUGCCCAGACUUUCACCUUUUAUCUCCACUAUUAGAGCGGUAAAAUAACCCUGCUCCAGAAGGAAGUGUGCUGGGAGAACUGAACAACCUCAGGGAAGACUCAGCCCCCAGCACCCACUUCAGAUGUAUUCAAAACAGAUAGUGGGCCAGGAAAAGCUUUCUAAAGAGCAUAGCCUAGGGUUUAAUAAGCAAGAGAGAUCCUCCAGAGAGCUGAACAAGGCCCUAAACAAAGACCUGCCCCCAUCCCAGGGUUAGGGGCCUUUACAGAAUCUGGGAGGGUCUCAAAAUAUCCAAAGACCUUUAGCUACUCUGUCUCUCUCUCUCUUCCCUUUUCCAAAUGGGUGUUUUUACUUGGUUAUCUGAUCCAUGCUGCUCCAUGUGAGACUGGAGCUACGUCAGAUCUAAGGAAAUACAGAAUCACAGGGAGGCCCUGGACUGUGAGCUGCUGGGAUGUGGGGUUGAACCCCACACCACCCCCGGUGGGGAGAAUGAGCUUUAUGUGUGAAGGCAAGGAAGCAAACCAGUAUUUGGUGGCUGGGGGGGUGAACUGUGCAGAGAAUGCCAGAGCCCACUGAUCUUGCUUCAUUCUCCAUCCAUAGCCCAUGGCUCACUCUGUUUUCAACCCCUUGCUGUUAGGCAGGCUCUGGCCAGUGAAAUAUGGGUCAAAGUGCUUUACACCAGCCCAACCCAUAAAAUCCUCCGAUGCAGGGCCCUCCAUCCUUUCUUUCCUUUUGCAACAACCUUAGAGCCCCAUGUUGAAGACAGUGGUAAAACAAGAUGGGAGGUCCCUGGGUCCCUGAGUCACAAUGUGGAAGAGAACUGCCCAACCCAUCCAGGACUGUGAUGUGAGUGAGAAAUAAACUUUUGUUGUAUUAAGAUAGUGGGAUAUAGGGGUUGUCACAGCAGCAAGUGUUACUUACACUGACUAGUGUCAGGAUAGGGAAUGCCUAUAUUUAUUUAGAAAAUAUACCAAAUAAGAGAAGCUACCAGAGAAAGAGAAGUCAAAGAAGCUUAGAAGAACCAGGAGUAUGUAGGAUCAGAGAAACCAGGGAAGAAAAGAGCUUCAAGAAGAAACUGCUAAUGGUGUUUGUGAUGGUUAAUUUUACAUGUCAAUUUCGCUAGGCCAUGGUACUCAGGCAUUUGUUCAAGCAUUAUUUUGUUGUUGUUGUUGUUGUUCAAACAUUAUUUUAGAUGAAGGUGUUUUUUCAGUUGAGAUUAACAUUCAAGUCAGUAGACUUUGACUCCAUCAGAUUCUCCUCCAUCCUGUGGCGGGCCUUAUCUAGUCAGUUGAAGACCUUAAUAGAAAAUAGAAACUGACCUCCCCCAAAGAAAGAGAAUUCUGUCAGUAGACUGACUUUGGACUUAGACUGCAACAUUAACUCUUCCUGGGUCUCCAGUCUCCUGGUUAUUUGUUCUGUUUCUUUGGAGAACCCUGACUAAUACAGUGUUAAGUCUACAAAAUGAUUGAAGAGGAUACAAGUUUCAAAAAGGCUAUUAUUGGGGCGCCUGGGUGGCUCGGUGGAUUAAAGCCUCUGCCUUCGGCUCAGCUCAUGAUACCAGGGUCCUGGGAUCAAGCCCCGCAUCGGGCUUUCUGCUCAGCAAGGAGUCUGCUUCUCCCACUCUCUCUGCCUGCCUCUCUGCCUCCUUGUGAUCUCUCUCUCUCUCUGUGUCAAAUAAAUAAAUAAAAUCUUUAAAAAAAAAAAAAAGGCUAUUAUUCUGGCAACUAAGAGGAAGGAAGCAAUUUUAACAAACUUUGGGGUUUGGAGUUACAACCAAAGAAGGAAAAGUGGAAGCAAUGUCCUAAUGCUGUUGAAGAACAGGAUGGGAGAGGAAGCGCUCAAAGGCACAGAGGGAGGAAUUGAGCUUUAGGAGAAAGAGAUGUUUAGUGCCUGAAGUAGAAAAGACAAAAGCAAGUUCUG